CACGUAGGGCGCAAGCGUUGUCCGGAAUUAUUGGGCGUAAAGAGCUCGUAGGCGGUCUGUUGCGUCCGCUGUGAAAUCUCGGGGCUUAACCCCGAGCCUGCAGUGGAUACGGGCAGACUAGAGGUAGGUAGGGGAGAAUGGAAUUCCUGGUGUAGCGGUGAAAUGCGCAGAUAUCAGGAAGAACACCCGUGGCGAAGGCGGCUCUCUGGGACGGUACUGACGCUGAGACGCGAAAGCGUGGGGAGCGAACAGG
rnacentral:rRNA from 1 species